CGACUGAGUCCUGAUCCUUCUGGAAUCCUCCCCUCUCAACAGGAGCAUGGCCUGGGUGAGGGUGAGGGUGGGGGUUUGAGGAGUGGAUGCGCGUGUGAACUUCCCUAGGUUGCAAGCUUUGACAACUCCGUCUUUUCUGUGCUGAGCUGCUGUGUUUGGGGGCACGGCCUGCGGGUUGUGACGAGUCCAGUUCCCAUAGGGAUGACAAAGCUUCCCCAGAGAUCUGAAUGAUUUCCUGUCUUUAAGUCUUUGUCCUCCCUGAGGGCCUUCUUUCCUCCACCAGAUCCCUGAGGUUUCCCCAGUGAAUGGCUGUGUGUUCCCGCAAGUGAGUUUCCCCGUCCCCUAAGCCUAACACGCCAUGCAGGGAGUUGGAGAGUAGGGCUGGUCUGGAGCCCUUGCUGGCCCCAUCUCCCAUUCUGGCUACUUUCCCUCCAGCGACCUUCUUGAAGACCCUUCCACCGUGAUCCCUUCUCCCAUCUCCCCGCCGCCAGGAUCACACUCCCUUCGCAAUUCUCCCAGAGCGCUUUGUCUACACCUCUAGAGGGACCGGCCACUGUCUGCCCUGCAUCACAGCUGACGUGAGAUGUCCGGAUAGACAAACCAGAGCAGGUGCCUCUGCAGGAGUUCGUGA